ensembl:lncRNA
CUGUACAUUCUGGAUUAAAAUCCCUAGAUUCAUGACCCCUCUGAUUAACUAUUCUAGUUAAUCAGAAUCUAUGGAUCUGAAAAUCUACAUUUUAAAGAAUCCACUAGCAUACUCUUACAUUCAUUAGAGUUUGAGAAUCACUGUCAUAGCCCAAAGCCCUGGCCUUGGUAUUUUAUAGUCAGGGCAUCAGAGACAACUGGAGUUUUCCCGACUGGAUGCCCAGCUGUCCACCAGGGAUCGAGGGCUUCUGCCUCCAAAAGCUAUGUAUCGUCAUACCACCUCAUGCCUUGAUAGACACUCAACACAUACUUUUUACAUACUGAAAUAAGGUUUAUUCUGGAGAGAGAUAGGAAUUCAAAAUUGAUGCCUAACUAUUAUUCUGACUUUUAGAGAUGAAAUCCAGUUGUUUCAUGACCCCUAGACUCUAGCUUUUGCUCUUUGGGCAACUUCCUGGCUAUUACAUUAUCUUUUGCAUGGAGUCAACAAACUACCACCAGAGACCAAAUUUAACCUACUGCCUGUUUUAGUAAAUAAAGUUUUAUUGGGACACAGCCACACUCAUCAGUUUACAUUUUGUCUCUGGCUGCUUUUGUGCUACAAUAGGAGAACUGAUUCAUUGUGACACAAACUUUAUGGCCACAGAGCCUAAAAUAUUUAUCUGGCCCUUUACAAAAAAAAGCUUUUGCACUAGAGAAUUGAAAGGAAAAAAGUAGACUCUUUCAGAGUAUACCUUUUAAGUCUUCUGGUAAAAGAUUUGGUAGACAAUGGCAAACAAUAGCCAGUGAAAUUAAGUGGUGUGUUUUUGAGAGUUACCAUAAGAUACUCUCUCUGAAACUACCUACCUACUUGGCGUUCUUGGGAACCUACAAUUCAUACUGCUUAAGGCUGUGUUCCUCAAAGUGUGGAUCCCAUACUAUCUGCAUCUAAAUCAUCUGGAGUGCUUGAUGAAAAUACAGAUUUUUGAAUCCCAUCAAAGACCUACUGAAUGAGCAUUUCUGGAGGUAUGCCUGGUCAUUUGAUUGCUCCCUCUUUUGUAACUAUCAGUGUAUCUGUUCCCUGUCUCCGUUAUAGCCCUCAGCAAGAUAUUUGUUUACCUCCUGGUCUGACCUGUUAAGACUGUGAACUCCUUCAGGCACAGCUGAGGAGUGGAGUGUGUCCACAACCAGGAUCCAAACCUGCGAACCCUGGGCCGCCCAAGUGGAGCGCAUGGAACUUUUAACCACUUAGCCACAGGCUGGCCCCUUGACUGCUUAUUUGAAUUGGUAACUGGGCUAGCUACUCUUUUUUCAUACAACAUCAUUUUCAUUUGAAAAUACAAUUGACAGACAAACUAUGGGCAAUUCAGGCUUAUUUGGCAAAACUUUUCUUGAAAACAGUGCACUGUCACUUCAAGGAAAACAACUGAUAGUAUUUGUUGCCAAUUAUAAAAUUUGACCUUUUAAGAAAAAAGUAGAAUUUUGGAAACCUUUUAUCUACUAUGAGCUUGACAGCUUCUGAAUACUUAAGAGACUUUUCUAAUGAAAUUGGUGGUAAUUUUUCAAAAAAAUAUUGUGUAACAAAAUGUGUUAACCUUUGGAAGACUGCGUUGCUCAGGGAACUGAUAUUUUCCAAAUGACCAAUGCAUGAUGUCAUAAAUCAUGCAUGGAUAAAAAAAAUCCAUUGAAAGUGCAAGAUAGACCAAUGGAUUUUAAUGUAUCAGAGUACCAAAAAUUCAUUGACAUGUUUUCAGAUUCCACAUUGCAACUAACUUUUAAGAAGCUACCAUUUGUUGAAUUUUAGUGUGACAUUAGAAAGAAUAUCCAAAAUUAUCUGAAAAGGCUAUUAAAACACUCCUUCCUUCUCCAACUACAUAGUUGAGUGAGACUGAAUUUUCUUCAUAUACUUGAACCAAAACUAAAAUUGUAAUAGAUUGAAUAUAGA